GAUGAAGAACGUAGCGAAAUGCGAUACUUGGUGUGAAUUGCAGAAUCCCGUGAACCAUCGAGUCUUUGAACGCAAGUUGCGCCCGAAGCCAUUAGGCCGAGGGCACGCCUGCCUGGGCGUCACACGUCGUUGCCCCCCCAUCUACUCCUUCGGGAUUGCGAGGGGCGGAUGAUGGUCUCCCGUGCGCCUCGUCGCGCGGUUGGCAUAAAUGCCAAGUCCUCGGCGACGCACGCCACGACAAUCGGUGGUUGCGAAACCUCGGUUGCCCGUCGUGUGCGGUCGUCGCGCAUCGAGGGCUCGAAAAAAUUGCCGGGCUCCGGCUCGGCUUUCAACGCGACCCCAGGUCAGGCGGGGUUACCCGCUGAAUUUAAGCAUAUCAAUAAGCGGAGGA
rnacentral:misc_RNA from 1 species